CCGUCUCGAUCUGCUGCGGGCAGAUGAAAUGAAUAUGUGAAUCGAUCGCUCCGGCUGUGACGAUUUUCCCUUCUCCGGCAAUGACCUCGGUGCUCGCGCCAACGAUCAUAUUCGGAAACACGCCAUCCAUUAUAUCCGGAUUGCCCGCUUUGCCGAUGCCAACGAUAUAUCCGUCCUUAAUGCCGAUGUCCGCUUUCACAAUGCCGGAAUGAUCAAUGAUAACCGCAUUCGUAAUAAGCGUAUCCAGCACGCCUUCAUCACGCAAGGCGCCGCUCGAUUGCCCCAUCCCGUCACGUAU
rnacentral:sRNA from 1 species